CCUACGGGAGGCAGCAGUGGGGAAUAUUGCACAAUGGGCGCAAGCCUGAUGCAGCGACGCCGCGUGAGGGAUGACGGCCUUCGGGUUGUAAACCUCUUUCAGCAGGGACGAAGCGCAAGUGACGGUACCUGCAGAAGAAGCACCGGCCAACUACGUGCCAGCAGCCGCGGUAAUACGUAGGGUGCAAGCGUUGUCCGGAAUUACUGGGCGUAAAGAGCUCGUAGGCGGUUUGUCGCGUCGUCUGUGAAAACCAGCAGCUCAACUGUUGGCUUGCAGGCGAUACGGGCAGACUUGAGUAUUUCAGGGGAGACUGGAAUUCCUGGUGUAGCGGUGAAAUGCGCAGAUAUCAGGAGGAACACCGGUGGCGAAGGCGGGUCUCUGGGAAAUAACUGACGCUGAGGAGCGAAAGCGUGGGUAGCGAACAGGAUUAGAUACCCUGGUAGUCCACGCCGUAAACGGUGGGCGCUAGGUGUGGGUUUCCUUCCACGGGNUCCGUGCCGUAGCUAACGCAUUAGCGCCCGCGUGGGGAGGUACGCGCGAGACGUAACGUACGAAGUUAGAGUAGUUAGGCGUGAGACGNGCGACGGACGACGACGAGGGAGGAGG
rnacentral:rRNA from 1 species